rnacentral:tRNA from 1 species
GCCCCUGUAGCUCAGUUGGAUAGAGCGGCGGCCUCCGGAGCCGUGUGCGCAGGUUCGAGUCCUGUCAGGGGUA